rnacentral:rRNA from 1 species
UGGGGAAUCCUCCGCAAUGGACGAAAGUCUGACGGAGCAACGCCGCGUGAGUGAAGACGGCCUUCGGGUUGUAAAGCUCUGUGAUUCGGGACGAAAGGCCAUAUGUGAAUAAUAUAUGGAAAUGACGGUACCGAAAAAGCAAGCCACGGCUAACUACGUGCCAGCAGCCGCGGUAAUACGUAGGUGGCAAGCGUUGUCCGGAAUUAUUGGGCGUAAAGCGCGCGCAGGCGGUCACUUAAGUCCAUCUUAGAAGUGCGGGGCUUAACCCCGUGAUGGGAUGGAAACUGGGAGACUGGAGUAUCGGAGAGGAAAGUGGAAUUCCUAGUGUAGCGGUGAAAUGCGUAGAUAUUAGGAAGAACACCGGUGGCGAAUGCGACUUUCUGGACGAAAACUGACGCUGAGGCGCGAAAGCGUGGGGAGCAAACAGG